GCUAUCACUCACUGAACUAACAGUUUCAUUAUCCAACUGAGUUGAAAAUGAGGAGGUAGGUGAGUUCCCUAUCUCAAACUUUAAGGAACCCAUUAGUCUUCUAUCAGGCAAAGAGGAAACAGUCGGGUAAGGAGACGAGUAAGACAUGCCCGAACCAGUCACAGUACCGAACCCGAAUAGCUGCUGUGUAUCCAUGUUCUAAAUUUAGAAUCAGCGCUUAGCGAGUAAUUGUUUUCUGAAGUGCUCUACCAAUUCAGCUCGCAAACCAGCCUGCAGGAGCAAACCAAAU
rnacentral:lncRNA from 1 species